rnacentral:misc_RNA from 1 species
CAUCCCCCCCAACGCCUCUGUCUGUGUUCCUCUCCGCUCGCCCUCCAGCAUAUGUCUCGCUUUCUUUCUCCUCCCCUUCAUUGCAUCUAUUUAUCUCUUUCUAUUUCUCCCUCUCUUCUUCUUCUCUAUUCCCCCUACAGCGUCUCCCUUUAUCUGUUUUCCUCACAACUCCCCCUUCAACGCCUCGAUCAAUCUCUCUUCCUUUCUACUCCCACCUUACACCUCUAUGUAUUUCUCCCCCCCCCUUUAAAGUCUCUAUCUAUCUAUCUAUCUAUCUGUUCUCCCCCAACGUAUUUAUCUACCUGUCUCCCUAUCUCGCCACUUUCAUCUCCAAACUCGCACCGUCUCUCUUUCACAACGAAACUCCCUUCUGUCAAAACUAUUCACAAACUUUUCAGAGCGGAGAGAGCUGGAAGCGAACCCGAAAAACAAUGGUGCCAAGAUACAUUUAGACAUUUCAACAAUCUCUUCAGUUCUCCGGAAGCCAGUGAUUGUGGCAUAGCACUGAUGUCUGGUUUUCUGUUGAGCAACAAAGAGGAGCUUGACAUGAUUCAAGACAUCAGCUUUGGUGAGACCAAGAUGACUCCGGAGCAAAUAGCCAAUAUGGGUUUCAACUACAAACACGUGACCAAAAUGUUGACUUACACAAUGGAAUGCCGCAAAUAUCUGCCAUGGUUAACUUCAAAGUUCCUGUCACUGGGAGGCAAUGUGCACCAUCAUAGAUUGAAGAGUUUGGAAGAGCUCGUGGGAGUCUACGAUGUGGUUGUCAACUGUUCGGGCCUUGGAGCAAAGGACCUUGUGUCUGAUCCCUUAGUGUACCCUGUGAAAGGCCAGCUGAUCCAACAUCAACCGUACAAGCCUCGGCGGGGUUCGUAUCAAGAACAACUACAGCACUGAGGUGGACCCUGAGAUCAGUAAAUCCAUCUGGCAGCGAUGUACCUCAAGGAUACCCAGUCUGCAGAAAGCUAAAGUCCUGUGGGAGUGGGCAGGCUUACGUCCACACAGGGACCCGAUCCGCCUCGAACAGGACAUCAUGAAUUUUCCAAAGG